AGAGAUGUGUGAUGACGCAUAUCAAUAAGCGGAGGAAAAGGAACUAACAAGGAUUCCCUUAGUAACGGCGAGUGAAGCGGGAAGAGCUCAAAUUUGAAAUCUUCAAGGUUCUACCUUGACGAAUUGUAGUUUAUAGGAAGUGUUUUCUGUUAGUAGGAGUGGCAAAAGUUCUUUGGAAUAGGACAUCAUAGAGGGUGAGAAUCCCGUAUUUGGUCAUUCCUUCCUAGCUUUGUGAUACACUUUCAACGAGUCGGAUUGUUUGGGAAUGCAGUCCAAAAUGGGUGGUAAAUUUCAUCUAAAGCUAAAUAUUGGCGAGAGACCGAUAGCGAACAAGUACCGUGAGGGAAAGAUGAAAAGAACUUUGAAAAGAGAGUUAAACAGUACGUGAAAUUGUCAAAAGGGAAGCGUUUGACACCAGUGUUGUUUUCUCGAAAAUCAAUUAAAAAUGAGUUGAUUUUGUGUUGUAUUGACCUUAACAGCUUUCUUCACUCUUUUUCCUGUCUUUUUUAAUGCACUUUUCGUUUAACAAGUCAACAUCAGUUUCUUUUGUUGUAAAAGGGUCAUUGGAAGGUGGCUUUCUUUUCGGAGAAAGUGUUUAUAGCCUUUGAUCUCUGCAAUCGGAGAGACUGAGGUCUGCAGCGUAGAUCCUUCUGGAUUAGAUACAUUUGUGCUAAGUUAUAGCUUUUCAUAGACAACUUGUUGACUAUGUUAGUCUUGUAGCUUACUCGCUUAUGCUAAUUUUACCUACGCUUAGGAUGUUGACAGCAGUAUAGACUGU
rnacentral:rRNA from 1 species